rnacentral:rRNA from 1 species
AGAAUCAACGCUGGCGGCGUGCCUAACACAUGCAAGUCGCACGAGAAAGGGACUUCGGUCCUGAGUAAAGUGGCGCACGGGUGAGUAACACGUGAAUCAUCUACCUCCGAAUGGGGAAUAACUGAGAGAAAUCUUAGCUAAUACCGCAUAAUACCUACGGGUCAAAGCAGCAAUGCGUUUGGAGAGGAGUUCGCGGUCGAUUAGUUAGUUGGCGGGGUAAUGGCCCACCAAGACGAUGAUCGAUAUCCGGCCUGAGAGGGCGCACGGACACACUGGAACUGAAACACGGUCCAGACUCCUACGGGAGGCAGCAGUGGGGAAUUUUGCGCAAUGGGGGAAACCCUGACGCAGCAACGCCGCGUGGAGGAUGAAAUAUCUUGGUAUGUAAACUCCUUUCGAUGGGAAGAUAAUGACGGUACCCAUAGAAGAAGCCCGGCUAACUUCGUGCCAGCAGCCGC